AAGUCGUAACAAGGUUUCCGUAGGUGAACCUGCGGAAGGAUCAUUAGAGAAUACUAUUCGAUGGCGAGGUCCUCUUCGGAGACCGAGUCGUCUUAUAUAUCCAAACACCUGUGCACCGUAGAGCCCCUCUCGCGAGGGGUUCGCCCUUUUUAUAUACAAACAUCAGUAGUCUUAAACGUAACGUCUUAUUAUAACAUGAUAAAACUUUCAACAACGGAUCUCUUGGCUCUC
rnacentral:misc_RNA from 1 species